rnacentral:rRNA from 1 species
UACGUAGGGGGCAAGCGUUGUCCGGAAUUAUUGGGCGUAAAGAGCGUGUAGGCGGCCAGAUAAGUCCGCUGUGAAAUCUCGAGGCUCAACUUCGAGCUGUCGGUGGAAACUAUCUGGCUAGAGUCCGGAAGAGGAGAAUGGAAUUCCUGGUGUAGCGGUGAAAUGCGCAGAUAUCAGGAGGAACACCGGUGGCGAAGGCGGGUCUCUGGGCAACAACUGACGCUGAGGAGCGAAAGCGUGGGGAGCGAACAGG